UACAGAGGGUGCAAGCGUUGUUCGGAAUUAUUGGGCGUAAAGCGCGCGCAGGCGGCCUUUUAAGUCUGAUGUGAAAUCUUGCGGCUCAACCGCAAGCGGCCAUUGGAAACUGGGAGGCUUGAGUACAGAAGAGGAGAGUGGAAUUCCACGUGUAGCGGUGAAAUGCGUAGAUAUGUGGAGGAACACCAGUGGCGAAGGCGACUCUCUGGUCUGUAACUGACGCUGAGGCGCGAAAGCGUGGGGAGCAAACAGG
rnacentral:rRNA from 1 species